rnacentral:lncRNA from 1 species
GACUUAUUACAAAAUAAAGUAAUAAAGAUAAAACGAACUAAGGAUCGUCGGCGCCAAUGUCGACUGAGAAACGCCACCUAGAUCAGAUCGAACUCCUCAGUGUUAGGCGGCUCCUCCUGAACCACCUGCUCUUCUCCUGUGGGGGGGGGGGUGAGACAGCAAGAGUGAGCUCACAUACGAUCAUAGCUCAACAAGUCGUGGGGAAUAAUGUGGCAUGAACUCACCAAAGGUGGGAAUUCAUGAAGUGUAAGGCUGAUCAAUGAAAUAAAGGCUGAAGCUGAGCAUUGCUUUUAUAAGUUGGUCAAAGUUUUAUUAGCAGUUACUAAGUGUAAGUGAAUACCAAACCAUUAUAAUAAUAAGUAAAAGUAGUAACAAAAUAAUCCCAAAUGCAAUGAGAUGACAAAUUAAGUUUAAGUUCCAUAAAUUAAUCAUGUGAGUGUCCGAGCCGCUCAUGACCGUGAGCACGGCUAGUAUACCAGUUUUACACUCUGCAGAGGUUGCGCAUCUUUACCCACAAGUCGUGUUACCCAUCUGCCACAGAGUUGAUCAGACUCCAUACACCUCUACCUAGGAAGCGAGGCAGGGUACCACUACGAGGCCUUUACAAAGUUCCACUAGCUUCAGACUACCCGCUAUAGUUUAUAGGAAGAUCCAGUACAGGGUUCCUGGCUGACAGCCAUCGCAGCAAAAUCAACCAGGGACCUCCCCGCACUGACCUCUCCCUUACUGCCCUUGCCCCUUUCGGGUAAGGUAGCCCUCCCCUAGCUUUCCUAGUUAAUCAGCCAAGGGCGUCCCAUUAAACCCUUGUGGUAGCACUGUUUUCCCGGGUGGUUCUCCAUGUUCCAAUUAACAUAAUGAUCUUAACAUGAACAAGGAAUAAUAAAACAUAUAACAAUAAAUAGUGUAACAAUGAGUGAUGAAUAUCUCUAUACCCAAAUCCACAUAAAGCAAUAGCAUGUACUACCCAAAACUUUAGUAGUAAAACCAGUGGUGAAGCAAGGUAUAAAGAUAGUCAAAAUCUAGGGCAUCCUAUUGGGUCCCAGCAAAAUUAUCCUAUGCAGAUCAUUAUGAAUAAUAAGAACAUGAAUGGGUAAAAGAAGUGAUCAAGGGCACAACUUGCCUUCAACGAGCUCCUGCUCAGCUACUUCAACUUGUUGAAGCUCAGGUUCCACAGUAGGUUGCUCGUCUACUCGCAUCAAUACAAUACAUACAUGACAUAGCAUAAAUUAACAUCACAUCAAACAUGCAAAUAGAAUAUACAGUAAUAAACUAGACAUUAAAAUAUGAUCACAGGAACUGGAAUCAUUAAAUUUAGAGUUAUACAUUUUAAGUUAUGGAUUUUCUAAGGUUUAAUGUGCUUGAAAUAGGAUUAAAUGAUAAAUAAUUUUUCUAACAGAGUUCAUGUCAAAACAGUGACUCUAAGUGUUAGAGAAUAAUAUUACAAAAUUUUAGAAACUGGAAUGGCUCAAUUUGGACUAAAAAUGGAUUUUCUAUGAUUUAUACAAGUUCUAGGGUUUAUUUUCAUAUUAAAAAUCCAAAUUCUAAUUCAUUUAAUUGAUUUAAAACAAUUCUGGAUCGGGCCUCAUUUACUGGUAAAUUCAGGGUUCUCGGUGUAAGUUUCCUAAGACACAGAGCACAGUGCUCACUGGAUGGCGGGUUGAAUUGUGAUUUCUUCGGGGUCUCUUUAGAAAAAAUGCCCCGCGAAGGGGUAUCGGUGAAUCUGAGCCGUUGGAUCACUUGUCAAGGGCAUGGAUUAGAUCGGAUCCCGGCCGAACCGGUACCCGCCCAGAGCCGCCCGAUCUAGAUCCGAUGGUAAGGAUUUAAUGAGUCAAGGAUUCAACGUUCAUCACUGGAUCACAAAUCUACAGCUGAAAUCGUCCCGGUCGAAAUGUUACACCAUACCUAAUCUCUGUCGAUCAUCCAGAGAUCAACGGCUGACGCUGGUUCAAAUCUAGACCGUCCGAUAAGAUCAGACGGCAGCCGUUCCAUCCUCCCCACGGUGGCGCCCAACGGCGGAACACGAGCCACCCGCGGCGGCGCUCCAUUGCCGAGCCGGCCACUAGUACCCCAGGCGACCCGAAAUCCAAUCUAACGGACGCUACACGGUGCAGGGGCAAGAGUGAAUACGCGAAGAAGGUUCUCACCGUCGGAAGGGGUUCAGUCGAAGCAGUCCACGGCGGAGGGCGAGUCCGCGGCGGCGGCGAAGUUCGGCGAGGAAUUCCGGUUGCGCCGAGGAUUGGUUUUCUGGUCCGAGCACACGUAUGGCUCGCACGUGGUUCAACGAUCACCCUAGGCCCGAUCUACAGGCCUCGGAUGACCCCACGGCGUGCGGCAACGGCGGCGGGUACCAACUUAGCUACUGCGCGCGGCGGCGGCGGCUUAUGGGUCGAGCUCGCGUGGGAGGGAGUCAUGGAUGAGAAGGCAGAGACGCAGGGGUCCCCCCCUUUUAUCCCCUUGAGUCACGAUCCGGAGCAAGGAGAGCGCGCCCAUAAUCCCGGCGUCGACGGUGAGUUCUGCGCGAGCCGUUGCAAGGAUAGGGAUGACCUGACCAGCGGGGUCCAUGUGUCGGUGGCGGUCACGGAAGAACUACGCGCGCGCGGGGCAGGCUGGUCGGUGGGUCCGGCAGAUCAGCGAGGGGAGAACCGUGGUCGAGCGCGUGAGUGAGGGAGGCUGACGGGCGGAGCCCACCUGUCGGCGCACGCGGGUGUCGGUACGCUGGGCCGCGCGGUGAGGAAGUCCCGGUGGGCCAAAUUCCCAGCCGACGGCCCAAUUAGGGUUUUAGUCCUUUUUUCUAUUUUAUUUUCUAUUUUCUUUUCCCAUUUCCAAGUUAAAUUUGAAUUCAAACUUAAAUUCACAUUUCUAUGGCUCACCACUUCAACUUAUAUUUGUGAGAUUAGGGAUACCAAUCCUGAAUAUAUUUAUUCAUAUAUAUUUUAUUUAUAUAUGUAUUUUUAUAACCCUUCUCUCUUUCUUAUUUUCAAACUUUAAUUUUCAUUUAAGGUUUGAUCCAAUCCUUUAGAAUUAUUAUCUCUUUGUUAUUAUCCUUAUUAUUUUAUUUAAUGUGCAAACAUAUAAAACUCCAACAUGAUGCAUAUUCUUUUUAUCCUUUGUUUUAAUUCACCUCCAACUUUCAUGUAUGCUCUUUUUAUGAUGCAAUCAUGGCACAUAGAACAAGGAAUUCACUAUAUAAUCCUCUUAUACAAUUUUGAGUAUUACAAAUCCUACCCCCCUUAAAAAUAAUCUCGUCCUCGAGAUUUAAGAAGAACUAGAGAAAAGGUGGGGAAAAACUAUACGAAGCUCUUCUUCUCUUUCCCAAGUUGCUUCAUCUUCACUGUGGUGGCUCCAUUGAACUUUGCACAUCUUAAUCACCUUAUUCCUUGUAACUCGAGUCAAAGUGUCCAGAACCUUAAUAGGGUACUCAGCAUAAGUCAAAUCAUCUUGAACACUGAGGUCCUCCAUUGGUAACUGUUCCUUAGGUACCCUGAGGCACUUCUUUAGCUGAGACACAUGAAAUACAUCAUGUACAUCUGACAGAUGAUCGGGUAACUCCAGUUGAUAUGCAACUUCACCCACUCGCUUCAAGAUCAAGAAAGGUCCAAUGAAGCGAGGGGACAACUUUCCUUUAACUUUAAAUCUCCUCAUACCACGAAGUGGUGACACCUUCAAAUAGACAUGAUCACCCUCCUUAAACUCCAGUAAUCUCCUCCUAUUGUCAGCAUAGCUCUUUUGCCUGGAUUGUGCAAUUCUCAAAUUUUCUCUUAUCAUCCGAACUUGUUCUUCUGCCUCUUGUAUAAGUUCAGGCCCAAAGAACUGUCUUUCUCCAGUCUGAUCCCAAUAUAGGGGAGUCCUGCAUUUUCUGCCAUACAAAGCCUCAAAUGGUGACAUCUUCAAACUGGCCUGAUAGCUAUUAUUAUAAGAAAACUCAGCAUAUGGUAAACUCUUCUCCCAACUGCCACCAUGUUUAAGAGCACAAGCUCUUAACAUAUCCUCCAGUACUUGAUUAGUUCUCUCUGUCUGUCCAUCAGUCUGAGGAUGGUAGGCUGAGCUAAAAUUCAACUUUGUAUCCAAGCUCUCAUGCAACUUCUUCCAAAAUCGAGAAGUAAACUGUGAUCCUCGAUCAGACACGAUCUUCUUAGGCACUCCAUGUAGACAAACUAUCCGAGUCAUAUACAAUUCUGCUAGCUUGGCUCCCGUGUAAUUAGUCCUCACAGGUAUAAAAUGAGCCACCUUUGUCAAUCUGUCCACAAUUACCCAAAUAGAGUCAUAUCCUGCUGGAGUGCGGGGUAGUCCAACAAUGAAAUCCAUACCAAUUUCUUCCCAUUUCCACUCAGGUAUCUUCAAUGGGUGCAAUAAUCCAGCAGGUCUUUGAUGUUCGGCCUUGACUCUUUGACAUACAUCACACUUAGCCACAUGAGCAGCCACAUCUCUUUUCAGUCCAUACCACCAAUACUUUCGCUUCAAAUCUUGAUACAUCUUAGUGCUUCCAGGGUGGAUGGAGUAAUCAGAAUCAUGAGCUUCUUUCAAUAUAGCCUCACGGAGGCUAUCGAUCUCUGGAACACAUAUCCGAUCUUUGAACCAUAUAGUACCUUGCUCAUCCUCCGUGAACUCCGGGCCUCUACCUUCAGUAAUAAGAUUCUUGAUCUCUUGAAUCUUAGCAUCACCAAUCUGACCUUUACGAAUUUCUUGCUCCAAGGUAGGUUCCAAUUCGAUAGUCACUCCUUCCGUAUGUGUAACAAUUCCCAGAUUGAGUCUCUCAAAAUCUUCUGCUAAUUCAUCGGGUAGCUGGACAACGAAAGCGGAGUGAACAUGCUCCUUCCGACUCAAGGCAUCUGCAACCAAAUUCGCCUUGCCCGGGUGAUAGUGAAUCUCCAAAUCAUAAUCCUUGAUGAGCUCCAACCAACGGCGUUGCCUAAGGUUGAGAUCCUUCUGAGUGAAUACGUACUUCAAACUCUUAUGAUCCGUAUAUACUUGGCACUUAGUUCCCAUAAUAUAGUGUCUCCAAAUCUUAAGUGCAUGCACAACGGCAGCCAGCUCUAAGUCAUGAGUGGGGUAGUUCAAUUCAUGCUUCCGCAACUGACGAGAUGCAUAGGCAAUCACAUGUCCUUCUUGCAUAAGCACACAUCCAAGUCCUUGGCCACAUGCAUCACAGUAAAUGUCAAAUCCCUUCUGCAGAUCUGGCAUAAUCAAUACUGGAGGUGACAUCAAUCUUUCCUUCAAUUGAUCAAAGCUCUCUUGACAUUUCUCAUCCCACUUAAAUUCUUUUCCUUUCUCCAAGAGCGAUGUCAUAGGCUUGGCAAUCUUAGAGAAUCCCUCAAUAAAUCUCCGAUAAUAUCCUGCGAGUCCCAAGAAACUCCGAAUCUCAGUAACUGUAGUGGGCACUCUCCAUUCCAUAAUCUCCUUCACUUUAGCAGGAUCCACUGCUAUUCCUCCAUUAGAAAUAAUAUGACCAAGGAAUGGCACCUUGUCAAUCCAGAACUCACACUUGCUAAACUUAGCGUAGAGCUCAUUAUCUCGCAACUUCUGUAGCACCAAUCUCAGAUGUUGUUCAUGAUCACUUUCAUUCUUAGAAUAAAUAAGAAUAUCAUCGAUGAAUACCACAACGAAUCUGUCCAAAUACUCCAUAAACACUUUGUUCAUCAAAUUCAUGAAAUAAGCUGGUGCAUUGGUUAAUCCAAAUGACAUAACAGUAAACUCAUAUAAUCCAUAUCGGGUCGAGAAAGCCGUCUUAGGAAUAUCCGAUGGUCUAAUCUUCAUCUGAUGGUAUCCCGAUCGGAGAUCAAUCUUCGAGAAUACCCUAGCACCUCGCAUCUGAUCAAAUAAAUCCUCAAUACGGGGCAACGGAUACUUGUUCUUCACCGUAACAUCAUUAAGAGAUCUAUAAUCCACACACAUCCGUUGCGAUCCAUCCUUCUUCUGCACAAAUAAUACCGGUGCUCCCCAAGGUGAGGAACUUGGACGAAUGUAACCAGCCUCUUGCAACUCCGUCAACUGCUUCUUCAGUUCCUUCAACUCCUCUACGGACAUUCUAUAUGGCCGUUUAGAAAUAGGGGCGGUUCCAGGUAAGAGAUCAAUAACAAACUCAACUUCUCUAUCAGGUGGCAUCCCUGGUAACUCCUCUGGAAAGACAUCCGGAAAAUCUCUAACCACCCGGAUGUUGUCACCAACAAACUCCUCAGGCAUAAAGAACAUUGCACGCAUGGAUGAGGAGGUUACUGCAAUAUUAACUUGAAACCUUUCUCCUUUAGUGGUAGUGAGUUCUAUGGUACCUCUACCACAAGCUAUAACGGCCUUUGCCUUUCUUAGCCAUGACAUACCAAGGAUAAAAUCUAUACUGCUUGACUCUAAUAUUAUAGCAGUAGCUCCAAAUUCUCUACCCAUAAUGGUUAAUGUCAAUCUACGUGUCAUUUGAUUCGCCUCAACAGGCCCUUUAGGUGUAAUUACUAUCAGGGGUUUUCUCAUAUUUAGCAGUGGUACUUCAUUUGUGUUGGCAUAUCUAGCAGACAUGAAUGAAUGUGUAGCACCCGAAUCAAAUAAUAUUGUUCCAGGAAUUGCAUUAACAUAAAACAUACCAAUUACGAGGUCACCACCAUCAGGAGUAUCUUCAACGCUGACUUGAUUCACCCUGGCUAUAGAAUAUCCCUUGCCAGGGGUCUGUUG